GUGCUACAUAGGAUAUAAGUCCCUAAUAAUAGAAACACACAAAAGCUUCAACACUGGAAGAAACACAAACUUCAACAACAGCAUGUACAAGAUCAAAAGUCGACUUCAAGAAAGAUUCGCUCUUAGUAUUGAAAACAAAAAUAAUUUAAAAAAGAUCACCGAAUCAAAAGGCUGGGCUGCUGCAUGCUUCGAAGGUUAUUAUUUUGAGAAACCAAGCUGCAGAAAAAAAUGCUCAAAACUCAAUUUGCAUGUCUUCCAAUAUAAGCCAGGAAAAAGAAAAGAAAAAGAAUCAUUGAAGAAAUCUGAUGUAUCUAUCUGGAGCUAUUCUCUGUUCUUGUGUGUCGUAUCAUGA